rnacentral:lncRNA from 1 species
UCAGAUUCAACAAAAUCCAAAUAUAUCAACACAUAUUUUAUCAUCAAAUUAUAAGGGCCUCUGGGUUUCUUGCAUUCUCGCUAUAUUAUAAUCUUGCACCCGUUACAUACAAAUUUAUAGCACAAGGCUAGUUUAGUGCAAAACCCAUUUGUGUGAUGAUAUCUUUGACGGAUCAAUUAUUCCAGCAGCCAUUAAAUCCUCGUAAUGGUCUCUUGCAGCAUUGUACCCAUAAUUUAGAGUAUCAUUGGACCGAACCUGCAAAAGCAUCAAAUCUCGGUGAGACUUUCAUUGGAUUCAAAUUCCAUCUUAUAUUUCAGUCACUUCUUUGCAUUUUUCUUUUCCUUUUUUCCUCUUCAAUCUAUGCAUAUGUGAUGCACUAAUAAGAGGAGACCUUCUCUACAACGACAUUUCCAUUAACACCAGAAUUUUUGGCUAUAUGCCUUAUAGGAUAGAUCAAAGCUCUUCUGAAGAUCUCAGCUCCAAUCUGCAUGCACAAUUACGAUAGGUCACUAUCUUUUAUAGGAUGAAAAAACUUAAAUAGUAAUACCACAAAACCUAUUGAGGAUAUAAUAAAUAAUAAAGUUGUCCCUCUCUCUAACAACUUAAGCUUUUAGUCAAGUUGGCAUAGAUCCUGUAUUCAAACCUUACCACCUACCUAACCAAAAUACUUGCAUGUGUUUGACUUGCUGAUGGAAGAAAGUCUUAGAUAAAUUGGUGGUUGACACUUUCACAAAACCCAUAUAAAAUGAUGUCCCUGAGAAAAUGAUCACCACUUCCCUAUAGAAGCCAUGAUCAUUACCUGAAUUCCAGACUGGAAAAUUCUCAACUAAAAAUUUUCCCAAUCCUAACCAUAUAUUAAGUUUGAACACAUCUUAUAUCUUUUACAAUAAACAUAUGGUAUUGGUUGUCUUAAGACAAACUUAUAUAAUCUCCAAAUUUAAAUUGAAAACAAGCAUCAAGAUAAAAGAGAAAUUGAGAAGAAAAACCUUCUGCUCGUCAUUUUUCAAACUUUCUUUGAUAUGAUCCACUUUUAAAGAUAACCUCAAAAGGCUACAGCCUCCACCGACUAUAAUUCCUUCCUCAAUAGCUACCUGGAACAUGCCAAUUUCAGAGUCUGACCCUUACUAGUGUUAGAAGUUUGGUUUUUGAAAGUGUGUUGUGAAUAUUUUUUGGGACUAAAUUUUAUUAAGUUCCAUACACUAAAUUAGAUGAACAAUGAUAGAUUCAUGUUCGUCCCUAAAUGAGUAAGAUGACUUAGUAUAUUUCCUUUGUCAAAAACCAGUUAAUUUUAAUGAGAAAUUUAUUUUCAAAAAAGUUUCAAUGCACGGAAAAAAGGUGGACUAGACAAGGUUGUCCCCAUGGAAAAAAGAAGAAAAGUUAGUAAGAAUAUAAAAACCUAAGUUUGGACUCUUUAAAUUGGGUUGGCCCUUGGUUUAAAGGGGAGAGUUAUAUCUAAAGUGGGCCUGAUCCAUUAGCCUAUUGGCUUUAAAGGGUUUGACCCACGGGCCGGCGAUAAGCUGCGCCGCAGCCGCCCGCCCGGGCCGGCUGGCUGGGGGCUUAAUUGAAUUAAUUUUUUUGGAAAAAAUUUAUUCAAAAAAUUUAUUUUAAUUUCUACUUAAUAAUUCCAUUUUUCUUCGCCGAGUUAACUUCUUUUUGCGAACGGUCACACAUUUCAAAUUUAAAUGAAGCAAAAGUUCGAUUUUGGUUUAGAAUUUUUUCCUUUAAUACGCGAACAGAGGUAACCUGUCAAUUUUGUGCAGAAAGGUCCCUGUGCGCACUGUUUAGCCGAAUAAUUGCUAUUUGGCGCGAAUAGGGUGCCUUUUCCAAAGAGGAGUGACCCUCUAAAAACGUGUGAUGGCUUUCUAUAAUACUCCACCACCAGCAUUCUUCCAGUCAUUCGAAAUUCAUUCAAGCAAUGUUAGAGAGUGCUAGAGCAUCCUCAUUUGAGAGAGUGAAGACACUUGAAGGUCCGCUUGAGCUUCUGAUUUGAUACUACUAUUUGAAGAUUGUUACUGUUGUUAAUCCUGGGAGUUGUACGGCAUAAGUUUUUGUAAGUAACCAAGUGGCAGGUCGUCACGACUUAAGGAACGAAUUUAUUCAGCCGGGGGGAAUCAGCCAAACAAAUUUUGCACUCCUUAAGUUUAUAUAUUUUAUGUUCUUCUUCUUCUUCUUCUUCUAUUUCUGAUUUCAACUUUCUGAUUUUAACGAAAAAAAAGGAUACGCAUUUUAUAUAACAUUCUUAAGUCAUGAUCUCUUCUUUGUGUUUUAAAAAGUUUUUUUUUAAAUCAGAAAGUUUCUACUUCUAUUAUGCACAAAGAAUUUUUAUAUUUUGUAAUUAAUUCUAUUUUCUGAUACCGUUUCUAAAUUUGUGUGUUUUAAUAAUUCAUAAAAUGACUGGUGAUAACACAAAACGUUGGAGAACACUACUGUUCCAAUUAUGGCGACACCAAUGUGGUGGCUUAGCUCCUUCCUGUCAUUGCUGUGGAACAUGAGAGAAGCCCGAGAAGUUACCAAUGGGUCAGAUUUCAAUUCAACAAUCAAGCGCUGCAACAAAAUAUAUUGUUCUUUUACACAUUGAAUCUGGUCGCAUACUUUGACGCGAAGACAUCCUAAGUUUUGGAGUAGGGUGAGACUAAUUGUCUGACUAUGGCAACGCUGAGCAUGAAGCAUCAUAGUUUCUUUCUGCAAGAACUCGUACUUAAUGGUUUGAAAUUACCCUAUACAAUGUGUAUUGUACCAUUCCUAUUGCCACGGAACUCUGAAUUUUUUGGACAAGAAAUCCAAGACAGAGAUGUGUGCAGAAAUAAAUGUAUUUCAUUAUUUUAUUAAUUAUUUUAUUUGAUAAUUAUGUUUUCUUUUUCUUUUAUUUUAGGAUUCUAGUUUCCUUUUAAUUAGGCUUUAUCAGCUUUUUAUUAUUAUUUUUAUUUUUGUAAUUUUAGUUGGUUUAGAAUUUUUAGUAGAUUUAGGAUUCUAGUUUCUUUUUUUUCUAAUCUGAGGUUUUAAAUUAUAAAUUGUAAAGGAUUUUUCACUCUUAAGGGGAGUUUUUGAUGAAUAAAAAAAAUUGAGUGAUUAAGAGAGGUUCUCUUUUUAUUCUUCUUCCAAUUCUUGGUAUUCCUUCGAAUCAACAAAAUAUUUGAUAUGCCUUUCAUUUUUCGGUAUUCUGUGUGAAUCAACGGGUUUUAGGAGAGCUUUUAUAUCCCGGUAUUCUGUGUGAAGGAACGGUUUAGAGAACGAUUUUCGUUUUCCGGCAUUCGUAGAAUCAAAGGAUUCGAGUUUUGCUCCUUUUUCUGUUAUUAUUCUUAUUUUUUUUACGCUUUUAAUAUUUGCAUCAGUUUGUAUCAAGUUCUCAAGUUUCGUACCCUGCAUCAGGAUGCCGAAACCAGAAGUUCGUGUUGGGAGGUUUUUUACUUCAAUAUUCUGAUGCAAAGACCAUCAUGAGCAAGUGCAAAAAUUGCAACUUAUCUUGCAUGAGAAUUCGUGCCUGAAGAUGACCUUGAGUGACUCUUUCAAUGGCUGUUUUGUUGAAAAGUUACCACCGUUUUGGGAGAUUCAAGAACUACCACUCGAAACACAAGCUCAGGAAUGGGGCUUGAAAACAUCAUUGUCAGGCUACGGAUUGAAAGAAGACAAUCGUUAGUCAGAAAGGUCGAUUUUUGCAAACAAGAUGGAGUCAAGGGCUAAUGUGGUAGAGCAAAAGUGGCCAAUAGACCAAUCAUAAAAAAUAACGGAAGUGUCAGCGGGUCAACCUCUAAAGGGAAUGACCAAAAGAAGUUUAUGAGGAAUUGCUAUAGUGUAAAAACAUGGUCAUUCGAGCCAAGGUUGUAGGAGUCGCAAUAAGUGAAAGUAUCCCAUAGGCAAACAACAAGGAAAAAUGAAGUUUGGCACAAGCCAAUAUGAUGAAAUUGGAGAAAUUUCUGAAAAUAUUUUAGAAAUGAACUUGUGGUGCAGUCAUUUCUAGAGUAAAUCUUGUUGGAAGUAAAAUCCCAAACAAUGGUGGGUAGAUACGGGGAUAACCUGCCAUGUAUGCUCUGAGAGAAAUAUGUUCAUCACUUAUCAUUAAAAUAUUAAUGGAGAACAAAUUUUUAUAGGAAAUUCAACUACUUCUAAAGUUGCCGGCCAUGAAAAGAUUAUUCUGAAGAUGACUUGUAGCAAAGAAUUGGAUGCCAAACACGUACUUUAUGACACCUAAUAUUAGAAGAAUUGAUUUCUGGGUCGUUGUAGGAAAAAAAUGGCUUCAAACUUGUAUUGAGUCUAACAAAUUGUUGAUAAGAACAGAGUGUACAUGCCAAAAGAUGAUUACCUUUCUGAUGAUUAGUUAAACUUAAUGCACUCUGAUUGUACCGAAAAAUGAUAGGAAUAAAAUUCUAAUCUUCUGUUUACAUUGUAAGUUGGAAUGUUUAGCAUAUAGAUUGGGACAUGUGAAUAUUGAAUCAUUGCGAACAACUUUUUCAAUUAAAUUAUGUCCAAAAUUAAAUUUUAAAAAAGAUGAUAACUGCCAAAUAUGUGUAAAAGCGAUAUUAAGUAAAACUUAUUCUCCUUAUAUAUAAAAGUCAAUAGAGCAUUGGAAUUCAAUUCACACAAAGAUGUGUGCAUUUAAAAUUAGUACAAACAAGAGGCGGUAAAAGAUAUUUCAUAACUUUUAUUGAUAAUGUACUAAAGGUUUUGUUAUUUCUUACUUAAUGAGAAGUAAAGAUGGGGUUAUAAAAAAAAAAAUUUUAAAAAUUUUAAAAGCAGAAGUGAAAAAUCAAUUAAGUAAAAAAGAUUAAAAUUUAAAGAAGUGAUAGAGGUGGUGAAUAUGGAGUCACCAUUUAAAGAAUUAUGUUGUAGAAAAUGGUAUUAUACACCAAACGACCUGCACCAUAUUCUCUUCAAUCAAAUGGAAUUGCCAAAAGGAAAAAAAAAUAGAAUUUUAAAAAGAACUAAUGAAUGCUUAUGUAAUCCUAUAGAUAAUCAUUGGAAAAACAAAUAAUACGAUUUUUAAGGUAUCUGAAAUAUACACAAAAUAUGAAUAUUUUCGUUCUGGAAUCUGUCGUACCUGAAGGGAUAUUGUGAUCGUGCAAAUUGGAUUUCAAACUCUAAAGACUCUAAAGAGUGGUUAUGUAUGUGCUAUUGGAAGGUGCUGCAGUAUCGUGAAAAAAUCUUCUAAACAAAUACAUGUAAUUGCCAGAUCUACUAUUAUAAAAGAGGAGUUUAUAUUCUAGAUUAAAGCUAACAAGCGGCUGAAUGGAUAUUAGACAAUUUUUAGAGAAUAUUUUAAAUUGGUCAAAACUUGUGUCUGCUAGUGUAGACAUGUGAUAGUUCAAGUCAGCAAUUGUAAGGGCACAAAGUAUGUUAUAUGGUAAGCUUUCAUAUAACGAAUUCGUCUUAACCUAAUUACCCAUUAAACAACUUCUCUCUAAUGGGGAGUUAUUUCUAUACAAUUAUGUAAAAAUCUAAGGAUAACAUCGCGGCUCCGCUUACAAAAGGUUUCCCUAGAGAGCAAGUUUAUAAAUCUUCGAGGGGAAUAGGAUUAAGGCCUCUAGUCAAAGAGUGCUAUAGUGGAAACCCGACCUAUUUGACUGGACAUCCCAGAUCUAGGUUCAAAAUGACAACUAACAAGGUGUACUUAUUGGUAAUAAGCACUGUGGUAGAGAAGGGUAAAACCUUUUUGACUACGCCUAUUCCUAUCAAACACGUGCUGCUCUAUGAUGAAUGAGGCCUAAGCAUAGCUUUUAAUGACACUUGUAUCUUGAAAUAUUUAAGUGUGGGGAAGACUUAGGUGUACUGCAUAGUUCUCGCUUACAAGAUAUCCCUUACGAGUGGAAUGGGGCCGUUCCUAUAGAUUUUGGCCUGAAUUCUCUAAGCACUCAUGAAAAUCAGGUGUUGUUCGGCCAAAAUAAACACAACCAUAAGAACUAAAAGUGUUCGGAGGAUUAUCGUGUGCAUAUUGUUGUCUUGUUUACACUUAAAGAUGGACAAUCAAGGGCAUCAUGUUCGCACUGUUGCGAGUAAAUCCAUAGUAUGUCACUAAGGAAGGUUCAAGGCCGAAGGCUACCUCUCCUGAUGCCGUAAUUCUCCAUUCGCUCUCUCUAGUGUGUAUAUUUCAUUACAUCGGUCAAUUUUCAUUCAUGUGGGAGAUGUGUUAGAAGUUUGAUUUUUGAAAUUGUGUGUGAACACUUUAGGACUAAAGUUUAUUAAGUUCCAUACCCUAUAAAUUUAGAUAAACAAUAAUAGAUUCAUAUUGGUCCCUAAAUGAGUGAUGAUUUUAGUCUAUUCAUUUGUCAAAAACCAGUAAUUUUGAAUAAGAAAUAGUUUCUCCAGAAGUUCAAUGUAAAGAAAAACAUGUGCAUAGAUAAGUUGUCCCAAACUUGAAAAAAAAGAAAAAUGAGUAAGAAUAUAAACCUCAAGUUUUGGACUCUUUAAAUUGGGCCCUGGUUGCACCUCAAGCUUUUAAAGGGGGAGAGCUAUAUAAAAGUGGCUUGAUCCAUAGCCUGUGGGCUGUAUGGGUUUGACCCCAUUUUGCGGCUGGCCGCAGCCGCCGCCCCAGCCCGUCCCGUCCCGGUUCGGUUCGGUUCGUGUUCGUUUCGUUCGGGAUGCCCGGGCUGGGGCGCUUUUGGGCUUAAGUAAAUAUUCAUUUUUUGGAGAAAGUUUAUUCAAUUAUUUUAAUUUCUAAAUUAAGAAAUUAUAUUUUCUUUCUCGGAAUUAACUUUCUUUUGCGAACGAUCAUACCGUUUCAAAUUUUAACGAAGCGAAAAUUAUGAAUUGUUUUCAGAAUUUUUUCCUUUAAUAUGCGAACAAAUGCAACAUUUUAAUUUAUUCAGAAAGGUCCCUGUGCAUAGCUGUUUGGCCGAAUAGGUGCUAUUUGGGCCGAAUGUGUGCCUUUCCAAAGAGGAGUGACCCACUAAAAAGGUGUGAUGGCUUCUAUAAAUACCCUCACCAUCCAGCAUUCUUCAUUCAUUCGAAAUUCAUUCAAAGCAAGUGUUAGAGAGUGCUAGAGCAUCCAUCAUUUGAGAGAGAGAAGACACUUGAAGGUUCGACGUGAUCUUCUGAUUUGGAGUACUACUAUCCGAAGAUCAUUGCUAUUGUAUCCUGAGAGUUGUACGACAUAUUCCAUAAGUACAAAGUACGGGUAGUCAACGACUUAAGGAUACAGAAUUUAAUUCAGGCCUCAGCCAAAUUAAAUUUUGCAUCCUUAAGUUCUAUAUUUUAUCUUCUUCUUCUUCUUCUUCGUCUAUUUCUGAUUCAAGCUUUCUGGUUUUAAACGAAAAAAAGGAAUACCAUUUAUAUAACAACUAGUUCACAAGAGCAUUGGUAAAAGGGAAACUGGCUACCUUAGUUGCAUUAAGAGCAUCUUCAAUCCUCAAAUGUUUAUCCUUCAGCAUUACUUGCGUUUGUGCUCCUACCUGUUAAUCAUUUCAUACAAUCAAAUGCAUCAGCCCGUAAGGAAAUCAGUUUUGGAAACUCCAGAUAAUCACGAUGCCAGCUCCAGCAAUAACCUGUUAACCUGAAAAAUGGCAAUUCCUCCGGAUAAACCCACUAUUUGCUCAUUAGGUAUUUUCUUAUCAAAUUUUUCUUUGGUGUUCUGAAAAGAAAACUGUAGUCUGUUAGUAUUCCCAAAGAAAACCAUCUAUUAAAUUCCUUCAAUACCUUGGUAGAAUUCACUUGAAAGUUUCAUUUGUCAUCUCUAUUGACUAGAGGUUGUUCCAUCCAACCUCAAGAAUAAGAGUUUUUAUCUUAUGCACAUUCACUUAGUUCCUAUCAUGAAUCCAAAACUUCAAACCUAAAAACUUAUGUAGUUUGAGCAAAUAAUUUAUGUUUCAGUUCUCUUGGUAAGACCGAGAUUGCAAAUCCUUUUAACUAGACAGCAUACUUGCAUUUGCUUCAAUUUAUGGAGUCAACAUUUAUUUAAAAUGUUUGUCCAAUAGAUCUCACCAUAGAAGUACUGACCAGAUUAUUUGAAUGUCAACUUAAUAUCCGUUGUGCUUUUUAAUUGUAUAAUAGAUUCUGCAAGUAAAAUGGAAGUGUGAGGGAAUUUAACUAAAAACAAAGCAUCAAAUUGCAUGGAGGCACAGUUCCAAAAAUAUUUUAUCCACCUCGACAAGGUUUCGGAUCUGACAAACCCUCUGCUUAAUAGCUGCUUGAGUGCUUCGAUCAGUUGCAAUCAACAUAGAAUCCUUAGUUAUCACCACCUUGGUAGCAGUACCAAGAACCUCCUUUCCAGUCUUUUCUAGGGUCAAACCCAUUUCAUCCCUUAUUACAGUCCCUGCACAACAAAUGCGUGUUCAACAUGCAAAUAUGUGAUGAAUCAUAAUGAAACAAACUAAGCUCAUUGACUUGAAAAGGUAAAGAAUUAUACCAAAAUUUAAUGUAAUGUCACUUUUAGGACUUAAAUAACUACAUUCUAAAUGUUCUAACCACUUUUACCAUGACAUCUUUGUUAGGAGAAUUGACAAUUGGAUAUGUGCUGGCCUAGUCUAUUAAGGCAGCAUAUAUUAUACCUUAUUUAGUUGAGCUACGUAUAAAAGAGUUAUAUUAUAUAGGCAUGUAAUUGAUAGGCGUUUAUUAAUCAGCACUUACCUUGCAAUAGUAGUGUCAAGGAAGGGCUAAUAACCAAUUGUCAAAGAAAUGGCCAAAACAUUUUGAGGUCAAAAAUGUAGGUUGCCUAACUUAGGCAAUGUCAAUGGAGUGCCUAACCAUUGCCAAUUUUUCUUUACCUAUUUCCACCCAACCAUUUUUGAACCCUAUUAGAAACCCUUAGCCCUCAUUUGUAAGAUCAUCAAUUGAGAGAGUUAGAGAGAGUUAAGGAGAAAAGUUAGAGUGGGUUGGAGUUUGUAAGUGUUUGUAAAAACUUGUAUUUUUUCUCCCUUUAGUUAACAACGAUCGCGCAGGUCCGGAGACGUAGGAACAAUUGGCGAACUCCGUUAUCAAAUUUGGUGUGUGGUUUUCGCUAUUUUUCGCAUUCCCACUAAUUUGGACUUAUAGAAAAAUCUGCGUAAUUUUCCCAACAGUUAGAUUAAGACUGAUUAGCCUUGUAAUUAGCCCGACCAUUCUAUAUCAAAGGAAAGAACCCUCACAAGGAUAGGACAUUCAAAACAAAACCCUUUUUGACAUGGUAUCAGAGCCCCAAGUUAUUUUUAUGUUUUUCUCUCAGCUUAGCUAAAUUCUUGGUUUCUUGGUGGAAUUUUUUUUCUUCUCAGUAUCAGGAUUAUUAAAAAUUUCUUUAUAGGUUCUGUCGGCAGUCUCUUAGCUUUUCAGAGGAUUUGUUUUGGAUAUUUUGGGUGGUUUGUCUGUCGCAAUUAUGGUGUGGGGCUGUUGGAUUUUUUUUUUGAAAUUUCUGAACAACUCCUUGUCUUAGAUUGUUGGGAAGUCUUGCUCGAUCAUACUAUUCCUAUGACUGUUGUGAUCUAUUGGGCUUUUCAAUUGUUUUCGGUGGUUAUUAUGUUAGGCAAAAAUUCUAUUGUUCGCUUUAAUGGAAAGAACUAUAGUUGGGAAUUCCAUUUCAGGAUGGUUGUGAAAGGGAAGGAGUUAUGGGGUCAUUUGGAUGGGUCUGCUAUGGCUCCAACUGAUCCCAACUUAGUUCAUGGGAAGGCAGGGAUGCCAAAAUUGCUUCUGGCUACUCAGUUCUGUUGAACUUCAUAUGAUCAAACAAUCUUCAUUGGUUCACUACUAUUAAGAAGAUGUGGGAUUACUUUCUGCAGAUCUAUUAUCAAGAUAAUUCUUGCCGAAAGUUUCAAUUGGAGUUAGAUAUCAAAAACUAUCGCUAGGGGAACCUCUCGAUUGAAUAAUUUUAUUCUAGUUUUCUUAAUUUAUGGAAUGAUUAUUCUGGGUUGGUGCAUUCUAAGGUUCCUAAAGAUGCUUUAGUAGCACUACAAGCGGCUCAUUCUGAGAGUUAGCGGGAUCAAUUUUUGAUGAAGCUCCGACCAGAGUUUGAAAGUGCACGAGCUGAGUUAAUCAAUCGCACACUUGUCCCAUCUUUAGAUAUCUGCUUAGGUGAACUCUUGCGUGAAGAACAACGUCUUGCCUUACAACUUAACAUUGCUCAAGACGAGGUGGUACUGAGAUGGUUAAUGUGGCCUACUCUACUCACGGCAAAGGACAAUACAGAUCUCCACCGUAGUGUUACGGUUGCAAUGAAGUUGGGCACAUUACAAAACAUUGCAGCAAGAAAUUCUGCAAUUAUUGCAUGAAGGAAGGCCAUAUCAUUAAGGAUUGCCGUGUACGCCCUCAGAAUCGAUCCACUCUUGCCUUUCAUAUAGCUGUUUAGUCCACCUUUGUGCUUGCAUCUUCGGCUUAGCCCUAUGUUUUGGGUUCUUCUUCCAACCUUACUCCCGUGCGGGUUCAACAAAUGAUUGUUUCUGCUUUUUCUGCUCUUGGCCUCUAAGGUAAGAAACAUCUUCUUACUUCUCCUUGGUUAAUUAACUAUGUGGCUUCCAAUCAAAUGAUUGGCAAUUCGGCAGCUUUACAUGAUGUUCGUAAGUGUGAUGGUGAGCAACAUAUUCAGAUCACCGAUGGCAGUAUUCUUCCUAUUAUUGCGGUUGGAAAUAUGGGGUCUUCUUUUACUAAUGUUUUUGUGUCUCCUGAUUUAUCCGCCAAUCUCAUUUCUAUUGGACAAUUAGUAGAAAAAAAUUGUUCUCUUCAUUUUGAUCGUAGUGGUUGUCGUGUGCAGGAUCAAGCGUCAGGACAGGAGAUAGCGAAGGGGCCUAAAGUGGGACGUCUUUUUCAUCUUCACUCGUUUUUCAUCCCUCUUUCAAUUUUUAUUGGUUGUUCCGCUAUUGCUAAUAUUAGCCAUUUUUGGCAUAAGAAAUUAGGGCAUCCCAACUCUAUAAUUUUGACAAAUCUUACGAAACACGGUUAUUUGAGCAAAAUACAAAUGCACCUUAUUCCUUGUCUUUUAAUUGUGCACCUUGUAAACUUGGUAAAAGCAAAUCUUGACCAUUUCCUUUACAGGGUAGUCGUGCUUCUACAUGCUUUGAGAUUAUUCAUUCUGAUGUCUGGGGUAUGAGUCCUGUUAUUUCUCAUGAUCAAUACAGUUAUUUUGUGACAUUUAUUAACGAUUACAGUCGUUUUACUUGGGCCUAUUUUUUUUGUUCUAAAGCUGAUGUGUUUUCGACCUUCCAAACAUUUGUUGCCUAUGUAAAAAAUUGUACAUUUUCUACCCAUAUUAAGAUCUUACGCUCGGAUUCUGGGGGAGAAUAUGUCUCAUGAUUUUCAAUCUUUCCUACAAUAGAAGGGUAUUCUCUCUCAACGUUCAUGUCCUUGCACCCCUCAACAGAAUGGAAUCACCGAGCGUAAGAAUAAACAUCUGUUAGAUGUUGUCCAUACCUUGAUGCUUGAAUCUUCUGUUCCUCCUAGAUUUUGCGUAAAGGCAUUAUCUACAACUAUAUAUUUGAUUAAUCGUUUGCCUUCUCCUACCUUGCAUCUUGAUUAUCCAUAUUCUCGUUUGUUUGGUGUUCCUCUUGACUAUAAUUCUCUGCAUGUUUUUGGUUGCAUCUAUUUUGUUCAUUAACUUCCCAUUGAACAUCACAAACUUGCUGCUCAAGCUGUUCAGUGUGAUUUUCUUGGCUAUAGUAACUCUCAUAAAGGGUUUGUGUGUUAUGAUGUGGAUGCUAACAAGCUUCGUAUUUCUCAAAAAUCAAUAUUUCUUUUCGUCUCGUACUAAUUCUGUUUCUUCCUCUAUUUAGCUUCCUCCUUUUGAUGAUGUGUCUAAUACUCUUACUCAUUUUCAUCCGGGUAUUGUGUAUCAUCGACAUCGCCCACUGCCUCUCCCUUCCUCUGAACUGCCACCUGAUCCUAUCUUGCAUGAGCCCCGCCGAUCUACUAGGGUUUCCCGGCCUCCAGAUUGGUAUGGGUUUUCUUCUUCCACUCUUUAGGCUACUCUUGAUACUACUUUUGUGCCUAAGUCUUACUCUCAGGCUUCUACUCAAGAGUGCUAGCACAAUUAUGCAUGACGAACUCAGGCCCUUAGAAAAUCACACUUGUGGACAUCGUCCCCUUCUCUUGCUAGAGUUAACUUCUUGGGUUCAAAUGUAUACACCAUAAGCUACUUGUUGAUGGGCUGUAUCAAAAACUAAGCUCGGCUGGUGGUACUAGGGAAUUGUCAGGUCAGUAUGGGCUUGAUUACAAAAAAAAUUCUCUCCCGUGGCCAAGAUGACUACUAUAUGCGCUGAUAUGGCCAUUACUAUUUCGAAGGGAUGGUUGCUUUGCCAAAUGGAUGUGAAGAAUGCAUUUUUACACGGUGAUCUAAAGGAAGAAAUAUUUAUGUCUCCUCCUCCUAGCUUGUUUCUUCCCUCUUCUGUUGACGUUUGUCGCUUGAAGCAGUCUUUAUAUGGUUUGAAGUAGGCACUGCGGGCAUGGUUUGAGAAGUUUCGUACUACUCUACUGGAUUUCAAUUUUACUCAAAUUUAGUAUGACUCCUCUCUUUUCUUUUGCAAGACUAUGAUUUGGAUCGUUAUCCUUCUUGUGUAUGUCGAUGAUAUUGUGAUUACCGGAUCUAAUCUCCAUUUGGUUGUGAGGAUACUCAUUGUUCUGUUAUGGGUUGGUGUAUGUUUCUUGGCGAUACCCUUAUUUCUUGGAAGAGUAAGAAGCAGGUUCGUGUCUCAAAAUCAUCCACCGAGUCUGAAUAUUGAGCUUGACGUCUGCCUAUUCUAAAAUUGUAUGGCUUCGAAGGUUGUUAGGCUAACUUAGUGGUCCGUAGCAUACUCCUACUCCUUUUCAUGCUGAUAAUACAGUGCUAUUCAUAUUGUGCCAUCUCGUUUUUUCAUGAGCGCACGCAAACAUCUUAAAUGGUUGUCAUCCAUCGUGAAGCCUGCUUGCCAUGAGAUUAGUCUUCCACAAAUUUCCACUGAACACCCUACCGCUCAUGGUCUUCACCAAGGCUCUCUCUCAUCAUCGCCAUCAGUUCCUAGUUGACAAAUUGAUACUUUUUGAUCACCCAGCAUCAAUUUGAGGGAAUGUUAGCAGAAUUGACAGUUGGAUAUAUGCUGGUCUAGUCUAUUAAGGCAGCAUAUAUUCUACCUUAUUUAGUCGAGCUAUGUAUGAAGAGUAUAUUGUAUAUAGGCAUGUAAUUGAUAGGCGUUUAUUUUGUCUGCUACUUACCUUGCAUAAUUAGUUGUAAUGACUGAUUUUCAGCCUUGUAAUUAGCCAAACAGUUUCUAUAUAAAAAGGGACUCUCACAAGGAGAGGACAUUCAAAACAAAACCCUUUUUGACAAUCUUCACCAUCAAUAUCACAAUCAUUAUCAUAGUCAGCCCUAGUUUUCUCCAUAUACCCUCGAGUAAAGAAGGAUAUAUAGGCGCCUUGAAGAACUAUAAAGACCAACUUAUAUUGUGUUGUAUCAUAUAAGAGGCACCUACUGGCAUGGUAAGUGUAUCUUUCCGCUACAAUAUUGCAUUUUUGAUUGGUUAAAACACAUAAAUUAUUUUGAAUUUUUAUGGUUAAUCUACUACCUCCAGUCAGGAGAGCGAUGUCAUCUAAAUAGUGGCUCUUGUGCUCGCCAAAGGCAGGAGCUUUAAUAGCAGCUGCCUUCAGCACGCCCUGAGCUUGUUCCUAAUUACUGGAGCCAGAGCUUGCUACUCAAUGCCCUCUACAACUAUCACAAUUGGGUACUUCUCCUUAACGGCACUGUCCAAUAUUUUAAACAUCUCCUUUGGGUUUGUAAUUUUUUGGUCACCCAGAAGUAACUGCAAAGAAAGAAUUGCACAACUUCUGAAUAUUCCACAGGAGAAUGCAGCGAAUGUUUGACAAAGUUAAGCCCCACCUUGCAAUUAUGGAACACCACUAUCAUCUUCUAUCGGUCAAUGACAAAAUAAGGGGACAAUUAUCCACGAUCAAAUUGCAUUCCUUCUACAAUCUUUAGAGCAUUCUCAACAUAAUUUCCUUUCUCGAUUAUGACCACACCCCAUCUCCCUACUUGUCGAAGAAUUUCAGGAAUCAUGUUUCCUACUGCAUAAUCUUUUCCUGCACUUACAGCAGCAACAUCUGCAAGCUCACGAUCCUCAACUUGCAAUACAGACAAUACAUGUAGUUGAUUUUGGCAAGCGUGUGUGCAUAAGCUAAUGCACAAAUGUUUGCUUAUAUUUUGUUCUAAUAUGCCCAAUUCUUCCACGUCAUUCACAGGUAAAUGAAAGAAGAGUGGAAAGACUUGUACCCCUCUGGACAUCAAUGUUGAGUUCAAAAACAAGGGCCUUAGCAGUU